rnacentral:rRNA from 1 species
UACGUAGGGGGCAAGCGUUGUCCGGAUUUAUUGGGCGUAAAGCGCUCGCAGGCGGUCCGAUGCGUCGUGCGUGAAAGGCCCCGGCUCAACUGGGGGAGGUCGUGCGAUACGGUCGGACUCGAGGCCAGUAGGGGGAUGCGGAAUUCCGGGUGUAGUGGUGGAAUGCGCAGAUAUCAGGAGGAACACCGAUGGCGAAGGCAGGUCACUGGGCCGCAACUGACGCUGAGGAGCGAAAGCAUGGGGAGCGAACAGG